GACGUAGGGCGCGAGCGUUGUCCGGAUUUAUUGGGCGUAAAGAGCUCGUAGGCGGCUUGUCGCGUCGAAUGUGAAAUCUCAGGGCUCAACUCUGACAUUGCAUUCGAUACGGGCAGGCUAGAGUUCGGUAGGGGAGACUGGAAUUCCUGGUGUAGCGGUGAAAUGCGCAGAUAUCAGGAGGAACACCGGUGGCGAAGGCGGCAUCCUGGACCGAUACUGACGCUGAGGAGCGAAAGCCAGGGGAGCAAACGGG
rnacentral:rRNA from 1 species